AGAAAGAAACCCUGUAGAGAGAUUGCGGCAUUUGGUUUCGAAGAGCUGGCGAUGACUCACCCAGACACUGAAGGAGGAGAGACGCGAAACAAGAGAUGUUGAGCUUGGGAGGCGUUAUUUUCAAUAACUCCCAAUAACAACAAGAGAUGGCCUCCGGAGUUGUUGUUCCCCUGCAACAGCCAGAGGUUAUCUCGAUGACAAGGAAGAUAUUGUGAAAACUAAUGAAAUGCUUAUUGAUUGAAUGAGCUGUUGUGCUCGGCAUUCGAAUGGCUUCAAUAAGGUAUCAGCCCACGCGAGCUGGUGGGUGCAUGCAUUUAUGUACGGGUGUGUGUAUUUGGUGCGCACGUGCGUGCAUGGUAAUGGUUGAAAUUGUACAAGUUCUAUAAUCAUGAAAAGAUUAUCUCGGUGACAAGGAAGAUAUUACGAUUACUAAUUGAAUGCUUAUUGAUUGCUUGAGCUGUCGUGCCCGGAAUUCUAAAAUGGCUUCAAUAAGGUAUAAUCUAGACUAAAUAUUUGUUUUUGUUAUGAUUUUUAAUUUUGGACAUUAGCGCUUGAGAGGGGGUGGUUGCGUGUGUUUGGUCCACGCGAAAAUGUGGGUGUGGUUGCCUGCAUGCACUUGUGUAUGGGUGUGUGGUAUUGGUUGAACCUACACAGUUCUACAAGCCAAGCAUGCAAGGGUACCAUUUCUAGCUUUUGAGUAUGGCUCUCUCACUCUCAAUCUUGCCAUUUGUCUCUAUGAGUAUAGUUUCUUGUUUUUUAGUAGAGCUCUAAUUUUUUGUAGCUGUGGGAUGCAUGCGUGCAUGGAUGUAUGUGUCUGUUAAGGUGUACGAGAGGUUGUGUUUGUAGUAUGUGCUUGUUUUUGUGUGCAUGUGUGCGUUUGGUUUUGUGGGUUUGUGUGCAGGUGCGUGAGGGUUUGUUUGCGGCUACGUGCUUGCAUUUUUGUUUGCUAUUGGUUGAAUUUGUACAUUUGUACAAUCAUGCAAAGGUUAUGUUUAUUAUUUUUUAGUAAAUUUCUGUUACUUUGAAUCUUGUAUUUGUCUCUUUUUGUAUUGUUUCUUAUUUUUUUAGUUGAUCUUUGUGUUUGUGUGUGCAUGUGUGUGCGCAUUUGUUAGUGCAUAUGUGAUUGGGUGGGUUUGCGGGCUUUGGUUUGGGUUGGGUUGUGUGCGACUAGGUAUGUGUAUUUGCUACGCAUGUGAGCGCUUGCUAUUAUUGGUUGAUGCUGUACAACUUCUAUAGCAUGCAAAGGUACCGUUUCUUACUUUUCACUACAACUAUCUCUCUCUCUCUCUCUCUCUCUCUCUCUCUCUCACACACACACACACACACACUCUCUCUCUCUCUCUCUCUCUCUCUCUCUCUCUCUCUCUCUCUCUAUUUUUUGUCUCUCUGGUAAAUUGGAUUGAACCUAUGUAAAGGUGGAAACUACAAUUAGUAGUAUGCCGACGCAUGAGUCACUUUUUUUAAUAUAGGUAUGACAUGGAUGGCAUUUAAUUUUCUUUUCCUCUCAAAUUAUCUCUGUGACUAUGAAGAUAUUGCGAUUACUAAUGGAAUGCUUAUUGAUUGAUUGAGUUGUCAUGCCUAACAUUCUAAUGGUUUCAAUAAGAUAUAAUCUAGACUAACUUUUUGUUUUUAUUAUGAUGUUUAAUUUCAGGCGUAAGCCCGCACGAGCUUGUGGGUGCAUGCACUUAUGUAUGGGUGUGUGUAUUUGGUGCGCACGUGUGUGCAUGGUAUUGGUUAAAAUUGUACAUGUUCUAUAAUUUUGGAAAUGUACUGUUUUGACUUUUCAUUAUAGCUCUCUCACUCGCUCUCUCUAUUUUUUGUCUCUUUGUGUAUAUUAGAUUGCAUCUGUGUAAAGGAGGAAACUUCAAUUAAUUGAAUUUGGACCCAAGAUUUGCUUUUUUUAAUAUAUGUAGGAUUUUAAAGACAAUCACUUUUAGUUUCUGUUUAGAUUAUCUCGGUGACAAGGAAGAUACUGCGAUUACUAAUGGAAUGCUUAUUGAUUGCUUGAGCUGUUGUGCCCAAAAUUCUAAAAUGGUUUCAAUAAGGUAUAAUCUGGACUAAAUAUUUGUUUUUGUUAUGAUUUUUAAUUUUGGACAUUAGUGCUUGCGAGUUGGUGGUUGUGGGUGUUUGGUCCGCGCGAAGAUGUGCAUGUGGUUGCCUGCAUGCACUUGUGUAUGGGUCUGUGGUAUUGGUUGAACCUACACAGUUAUACAAGCAUGCAAGGGUACCAUUUCUAGCUUUUGAGUAUGGCUCUCUCACUCUCACACUUGCUAUUUGAGUCUAUGUGUAUUGUUUCUUGGUUUUAGUAGAGCUCUGAUUUUUUGUAGCUGUGGGAUGCAUGCGUGCGUGGAUGUAUGUGUCUGUUCAGUUGUGCAAGAGGUUGUGUUUGUAGGUAUGUGCUUGUUUUUGUGUGGAUGUGGGUUUGUAAUGAUGUUUGGGUGUGUGGGGGGUGUGUAUGUGUGUGCCGGUGUGCGUGUGUUUGUGUAUAUAUGUGUGUUUCAAUAUAUGCUUGAUUAUGUGUGCAAAUGUGUGUGUGUUUGGGUGUUUGUCCGAGUGCUUGUGUGUGUACGUUUGUGCGCAUGUGUGUUUGGAUGUGAGUGGUUGCAGGUGUAGGUGCUUGAGGGUUUUGUUUGCUGGUUUGUGCGUGCGUGUGUAUGUGUGUGCGCUGGUGUGUGGGUGUGUUUGGGUGUGUAAGAUUUGAGAGUUUGUUUGCAGGUAUGUGUGUACAUUUGUGUUGUUCAUGUGUGCACGUGUGUGUGCUGGUGUGCAUGUGUGUGUAAGAUUUGUGUGUUACAGUGUGUGUGCUUACUUGUACGAGUGUGUUCGUAUGUGUGUGUGUUCUUGAGCAUGUGCACAUGUGCUCGCUCAUGCGUGUUGUUUUGGUGUGUGGGUGUUUGCAGUACUUUCGUGAGUGUGUACAUGUGUGUGUUUGGUUUUUUGGGUUUGUGUACAAGUGCGUGAGGGUUUGUUUGUGGCUAUGUGCAUGCGUUUUUGUUUGCUAUUGGUUGAAUUUGUACAUUUGUACAAUCAUGCAAAGGUUAUGUUUCUUAUUUUUUAGUAAAUGUCUCUUACCCUGAAUAUUGUAUUUGUCUCUUUUUGUAUUGUUUCUUAUUUUUUUAGUUGAUCUCUAUGUUUGUGUCUGCAUGUGUGUGCGCACUUGUUAGUGCAUAUGUGAUUGGGUGGGUUUGCGGCCUGGUUUGGGUUGGGUUGUGUGCGUCUUGGUAUGUGUAUUUGGUGCACACGUGAGUGCAUGGUAUUGGUUGAUGCUGUACAAAUUCUAUAGUAUGCAAAUGUAUUUUUUCUAACUUUUCACUACAACUCUCUCUCUCUCUCUCUCUCUCUCUCUCUCUCUCUCUCUCUCUCUCUCUCUUUAUUUUUUGUCUCUCUAGUAAAUUGGAUUGAAUCUAUGUAAAGGAGGAAACAACAAUUAGUAGUAUGCCAGCGCAUGAGUCGCUCUUUUUAAUAUAUGUAUGACAUGGAUGACAUUUAAUUUUCUUUUACUCUCAGAUUAUCUCUCUAACUAUGAAGAUAUUGUGAUUACUAAUGGAAUGCUUAUUGAUUGAUUGAGUUGUCAUGCCCAAUAUUCUAAUGGUUUUAAUAAGAUAUAAUCUGGACUAACUUUUUGUUUUUAUUAUGAUGUUUACUUUCAGGCGUCACCCCGCACGAGCUUGUGGGUGCAUGCACUUAUGUACGGGUGUGUGUAUUUGUUGCGCAUGUGCGUGCAUGGUAUUUGUUGAAAUUGUACAAGUUCUAUAAUUAUAAAAAUGUACAAUUUCUAACUUUUCAUUAUAGCUCUCUUACUCGCUCUAUUUUUUUUUUGUCUCUUUGUGUAUAUUGGAUCGAAUCUGUGUAAAUGAGGAAACUUCUCUAAAUUGAAUUUGGACCCUAGAGUUGCUUUUUUUAAUAUAUGUUGGAUUUUAAAGGCAAUCACUUUUCUUUUCUUUUUAGAUUAUCUCGGUGACAAUGAAGAUACUGUGAUUACUAAUAGAAUGCUUAUUGAUUGCUUGAGUUGUCAUGCCUGGAAUUCUAAAAUGGCUUCAAUAAGAUUAUCUCGGUGACAAAGAAGAUAUUACAAUUACUAAUGGAAUGCUUAUUGAUUGCAUGAGAUGUCGUACCCAGCAUUCUAAUGGCUUCAAUAAGGCAUCAACUCGCGCGAGCUAGUUGGUGCGUGCACUUAUGUACGGGUGUGUGUAUUUGGUGCAUACGUGCAUGCAUUGUAAUGGUUUAAAAUGUACAAGUGUUAUAAUCAUGGAAAGGUACCAUUUCUAACUUUUCAUUACAGCUCUCUCACUCGCUCUUUCCAUUUAUUGUCUCUUUGUGUAAUUGGAUCGAAUCUGUAUAAAGGAGGAAACUUCAAUUAAUUGAAUUUGGACCUUAGAGUUGCUUUUUUUAAUAUAUGUAGGACUUUAAAGGCAAUUACUUUUCUUUUCUUUUCAGAUUAUCUCGGUGGCAAAGAAGAUAUUUACGAUUACUAAUGGAAUGCUUGUUGAGUGCAUGAGAUGUCGUACCCAGCAUUCUAAUGGCUUCAAUAAGCUCGUGCGAGCUAUUUGUUGCGUGUGUGCGGCAGCGCGAAGAUGUGCAUGCACUUGUGUACAGGUGUGUGUAUUUGGUGUGCACAUGUGUGCAUGAUAUUGGUUGAAGUUGUACAAGUUCUAUAAUCAUGCAAAGAGUCAUGACGUCACUAUGCCCAAGACAUCACGACUCACGCUGGAGUUAAAGUCUUCAACCCAUUGCCCACGACGCCACGAAUUCACGAGUCACGGACUCACAUCGCCCAAUAUAGAGUCACGACUCAUGGUCUCACAUUGCCCAAUACAGAGUCAUGAUCUCAUGUCGCCCACGCCCAUUGCGGCGUUGCCCAGUACAGAGUCACGAUCUCAACUCACGGACUCACGAGUCCUAAUUUGGUUAAGUCCUAAGUUGUAAACUUGUAACCUAGAUUUGUUUAUUUGUUUAGUAGCACUUUGAUUUAUUAUUUAUUUGUGCAUGAUUUUCUUUCUUCCUUGAUAUUGGAAAUGCAAAAAUUUAUUUCUUCUUGUUCAAAUAUAGUCAUUUGUAUCUGGUUUACUCCACAAUGCCAUCUUCCUAUUGGAUGUGUUUGAACUUGCAAACAAAAAGGGAUAAUAAUACAUAUUUGGGAA